CGUAACACUGAAAUCGCUACGACGGAAUCCAUUAAAAAUAAUACGAAUCAUUAAAGUCUUAAAUUCCUGCAAAACAUCAAGUGUAAAAAAAAAUAAAACUAUGUAUUUUAAAUAUGCUAAUAUAUUUGUAUACUUGUUUGUUUAUUUUCAAAUAGCAAACACAUUUACUGAUGAGCAACUGGAAAAAAUGUAUUAUGGAGUCAAAAUCUUUAGUGUCAAAGAAGAUUGUCCUUUUUGUUGCUUUGGGUGUUUUGGAAGAGUUACCAAGUUAGAUACAAGAGGCUACUUACUGGAACACUUAUCUGAAUAUAAUCUAACUCGGGAUUGCAUUAAAGCGAUAACAGAGGGCAUGCCAUACGUCCAUCAAAAUAUGAAGAAAAAGGCUUUUAAAGAUCAUAUGAAACAAAAAUAUAACGAGUAUUAUGGGAUUGCUAAUGUGGUACCGUCCACAGGUGAGGAGUAAUGUGGACGCUACAAUACCAGCCGGUGUCGAAUUUCUACAUUUUCCACCUCUAGGCAAGUAAUAUUUUUCACUCUUUUAGCAAUCAAUUUUUCGUUUCUUUAUA